ACCCCUGUGAACAUACCAAUUGUUGCCUCGGCGGAUCAGCCCGCUCCCGGUAAAACGGGACGGCCCGCCAGAGGACCCCUAAACUCUGUUUCUAUAUGUAACUUCUGAGUAAAACCAUAAAUAAAUCAAAACUUUCAACAACGGAUCUCUUGGUUCUGGCAUCGAUGAAGAACGCAGCAAAAUGCGAUAAGUAAUGUGAAUUGCAGAAUUCAGUGAAUCAUCGAAUCUUUGAACGCACAUUGCGCCCGCCAGUAUUCUGGCGGGCAUGCCUGUUCGAGCGUCAUUUCAACCCUCAAGCCCCCGGGUUUGGUGUUGGGGAUCGGCGAGCCCUUGCGGCAAGCCGGCCCCGAAAUCUAGUGGCGGUCUCGCUGCAGCUUCCAUUGCGUAGUAGUAAAACCCUCGCAACUGGUACGCGGCGCGGCCAAGCCGUUAAACCCCCAACUUCUGAAUGUUGACCUCGGAUCAGGUAGGAAUACCCGCUGAACUUAA
rnacentral:rRNA from 1 species